rnacentral:rRNA from 1 species
AAUGAACGCUGGCGGCAUGCCUAACACAUGCAAGUCGAACGAGACCACCGGGACUAGUGGCGCAUGGGUGUGUCGCGCGUCGGAACCUGCACUUAGGUAUGGAAUAACUCUCCGAAAGGGGUGCUAAUACCGGAUAAUAUCUUCGGACCAAAGAUUUAUCGACUUUGGUUGGGCACGCGUUGAAUUCGCUUGUUCGUAGGCUAAAAGCUUACCAAGGCGACAAUCCAUAGCUGGUCAGAGAGGAUGCUCAGCCACACUGGGACUGGGACGCGGCCCGGACUCCUACGGGAGGGAGCAGUGGGGGAUAUAGGACAAUGGGCGGAGGGCUGAUGCAGCAAUGCCGGGUGAGUGAUGAAGGCCUUAGGGAAGUAAAGCUCUUUUACCCGGGAUGGUAAUGACGGUACCGGGAGAAUAAGCUCCGGCUAACUCCGUG